UUCCACUUCAUUCUAACCACUUACGCCCCCACCCCCCCGGCCCAGACCAAAUUCAAUUUCCCACUCCACCCAACGCUCCUUCGAUUUCAUCACAUAAGAUCCCCAAAUCUGACCGUCCAAGACAGCAACGACGACGAUGAAAGGGGCCGUUGAAGAUUAACGUUCACUGAUUUUUGACGACGGAAGGAAUUGGCACCGUUUGUGAGAGUGCUACUUUCGAACUCACAUUUCGUCGCCCGGGACUUGCGAAGUACUUUCACUAGGACUUGAAUUUGGCGUCGACUGAACUUGCGAAAUACUUCUUCCGUCUGCAGAUCCGAUUUUGUAACUAGUAACUACCCAACAUUUCCCACAAAUUCGACACAUUGACAAAACUGUCCUUUCCCUUACUUUUGCGUCCUGUACCGAUCGUUGUUCACCAUGGAUCCUUUGCAAUAUGAGAUACACGUUGUAUGUGUCGAUUGAACACCGUUCUUUCCAAAACCUAUCUAUUCCAUGUUAUCCAGCUAACUUUCUAUUUUUUUGAUGCGUUGCUACAGACACUCAGGCCCGGUGCUGGGGCGAGGCCAAUGAGGCCUGGGGCCUAUUUUUUUUAAAACAUGGUAGUUGCCCAAAACUAAUUAUCCAAUAACUAAACAACAGUCCACAAAUCCAUUUACCUUUAAAUUUCAACCUAACUUAUAUAUCCAAUAUUCACAAUCCAUUUACCCAAAAAUCCCAAACUCUGAAAUACGAUCCACGACUUGCUCAUCAUCUAAGUGUCUGUGUCGUCUCUAUCAGGUCACUCCAAUCUCCACCAGUCCGCCUCCGCCCUUCUGCCGUCAAUCGCUUCGUACAUGAGUUCCCAAAAUCUUUGAGAAGUCGGUCGAAGUCUGCUCGUCAGUUGAAUAUUGGUUUAUUGGGCAAACUGGCAAUGGGCAUCGAUUGACAGAGUCACAGAACGAUAACUACACUUCUUUUGGAAUUUUUAGGGGUUUGAAUGGUUCAUAGAUUUGUAACAUAUCCUUCAUAUUUCUUAAUGUUUUGGGAAAUUUUAAGAGAUGGUCUCUUAUUUGUGCAUUGUUGGACCGAGUUCUUUUAGUCUUUUGUUCUCCACAAUGCUGACUUGUUGUCUAGUUGUACCAGUGUGGAAAAGCAUUUAAAUUUCCAAACAAGUAUGAAGAGCCUAUAAAGUUCUCAAGUUAAAUGUUAAUGAUCUGAACUUUGC
rnacentral:lncRNA from 1 species